rnacentral:rRNA from 1 species
ACGCUGGCGGCGUGCCUAAUACAUGCAAGUAGAACGCUGAAGAGAGGAGCUUGCUCUUCUUGGAUGAGUUGCGAACGGGUGAGUAACGCGUAGGUAACCUGCCUUGUAGCGGGGGAUAACUAUUGGAAACGAUAGCUAUUACCGCAUAACAAUAGGUGACACAUGUCAUUUAAUUUGAAAAGGGGGCAAUUGCUCCACUACAAGAUGGACCUGCGUUGUAUUAGCUAGUAGGUGAGGUAACGGCUCACCUAGGCGACGAUACAUAGCCGACCUGAGAGGGUGAUCGGCCACACUGGGACUGAGACACGGCCCAGACUCCUACGGGAGGCAGCAGUAGGGAAUCUUCGGCAAUGGGGGCAACCCUGACCGAGCAACGCCGCGUGAGUGAAGAAGGUUUUCGGAUCGUAAAGCUCUGAUGUAAGUCAAGAACGAGUGUGAGAGUGGAAAGUUCACACUGUGACGGUAGCUUACCAGAAAGGGACGGCUAACUACGUG